rnacentral:lncRNA from 1 species
GGGCGCCUGGGAAAUAUCCUGUGCGCGUCUCUAUUAUGAUCGAGUGUAAAUGAGGGCCGCCGGCAGGCUGGAAACUAGCUACUGCGGUCGCAGUUGCUCUCUGAAGCCGCAAGGUAGGGGCGAUCGGCUGCCGCUGCCAGGAGAGCGGACGAUGCGGAGAUCCCUGAGCAAUCAUCUAAGAAGUCUGAUCACCUGAAUAGACCACAUGGAGAGACUGUGGGAGCACAUGAAGAGAGGUGGGCAGGGGGAACCCAGCUGCAUCCAACAAUCCAGAAAUCCCUAACAAGAUGCUAGACAUGAAGGAAACCAUCUUGGAUCCACCAGAUCAACCUAGCCACCAGCUGGAUACCACUGAGAGAUGCCAGUGGAGCAGAAUUGUCCAAUAAGCCUUGCCCAAAUUUCUCACCCACACAAUUAUGAGUAUAAUAAAAUGAUUAUUGUUUUCAGCC